AUGAACGCUGGCGGCGUGCCUAAUACAUGCAAGUCGAGCGAACAGAUGAGGAGCUUGCUCCUCUGACGUUAGCGGCGGACGGGUGAGUAACACGUGGAUAACCUACCUAUAAGACUGGGAUAACUUCGGGAAACCGGAGCUAAUACCGGAUAAUAUAUUGAACCGCAUGGUUCAAUAGUGAAAGACGGUUUUGCUGUCACUUAUAGAUGGAUCCGCGCCGCAUUAGCUAGUUGGUAAGGUAACGGCUUACCAAGGCAACGAUGCGUAGCCGACCUGAGUGGGUGAUCGGCCACACUGGAACUGAGACACGGUCCAGACUCCUACGGGAGGCAGCAGUAGGGAAUCUUCCGCAAUGGGCGAAAGCCUGACGGAGCAACGCCGCGUGAGUGAUGAAGGUCUUCGGAUCGUAAAACUCUGUUAUUAGGGAAGAACAAAUGUGUAAGUAACUAUGCACGUCUUGACGGUACCUAAUCAGAAAGCCACGGCUAACUACGUG
rnacentral:rRNA from 1 species